CGACCCCAGGUCAGGCGGGACUACCCGCUGAGUUUAAGCAUAUAAAUAAGCGGAGGAGAAGAAACUUACAAGGAUUCCCCUAGUAACGGCGAGCGACG
rnacentral:rRNA from 1 species